rnacentral:ncRNA from 1 species
GGUUAAGCGACUAAGCGUACACGGUGGAUGCCCUGGCAGUCAGAGGCGAUGAAGGACGUGCUAAUCUGCGAAAAGCGUCGGUAAGGUGAUAUGAACCGUUAUAACCGGCGAUGUCCGAAUGGGGAAACCCAGUGCAAUUCGUUGCACUAUCGUUAACUGAAUACAUAGGUUAACGAGGCGAACCGGGGGAACUGAAACAUCUAAGUACCCCGAGGAAAAGAAAUCAACCGAGAUUCCCCCAGUAGCGGCGAGCGAACGGGGAGCAGCCCAGAGUCUGAAUCAGCUUGUGUGUUAGUGGAACGGUCUGGAAAGUCCGACGGUACAGGGUGAUAGUCCCGUACACCAAAAUGCACAGGUUGUGAACUCGAAGAGUAGGGCGGGACACGUGGUAUCCUGUCUGAAUAUGGGGGGACCAUCCUCCAAGGCUAAAUACUCCUGACUGACCGAUAGUGAACCAGUACCGUGAGGGAAAGGCGAAAAAGAACCCCGGCGAGGGGAGUGAAAAAGAACCUGAAACCGUGUACGUACAAGCAGUGGGAGCACCUUCGGGUGUGACUGCGUACCUUUUGUAUAAUGGGUCAGCGACUUAUAUUCUGUAGCAAGGUUAACCGUAUAGGGGAGCCGCAGGGAAACCGAGUCUUAAACUGGGCGUUAAGUUGCAGGGUAUAGACC